GGGCGCGUGGCGGAACUGGUAUACGCAGCAGACUUAAAAUCUGCCGUCCCGAAAGGGGCUUGCCGGUUCAAGUCCGGCCGCGCCCACCA
rnacentral:tRNA from 1 species